GAUGAACGCUGGCGGCGUGCCUAAUACAUGCAAGUCGAGCGAACAGACGAGGAGCUUGCUCCUCUGACGUUAGCGGCGGACGGGUGAGUAACACGUGGAUAACCUACCUAUAAGACUGGGAUAACUUCGGGAAACCGGAGCUAAUACCGGAUAAUAUAUUGAACCGCAUGGUUCAAUAGUGAAAGACGGUUUUGCUGUCACUUAUAGAUGGAUCCGCGCCGCAUUAGCUAGUUGGUAAGGUAACGGCUUACCAAGGCAACGAUGCGUAGCCGACCUGAGAGGGUGAUCGGCCACACUGGAACUGAGACACGGUCCAGACUCCUACGGGAGGCAGCAGUAGGGAAUCUUCCGCAAAAGGCGAAAGCUUGACGGAGCAACGCCGCGUGAGUGAUGAAGGUCUUCGGAUCGUAAAACUCUGUUAUUAGGGAAGAACAAAUGUGUAAGUAACUAUGCACGUCUUGACGGUACCUAAUCAGAAAGCCACGGCUAACUACGUG
rnacentral:rRNA from 1 species